rnacentral:rRNA from 1 species
CCUACGGGAGGCAGCAGUGGGGAAUAUUGGACAAUGGGCGAAAGCCUGAUCCAGCCAUGCCGCGUGUGUGAANAAGGUCUUCGGAUUGUAAAGCACUUUAAGUUGGGAGGAAGGGUUGUAGAUUAAUACUCUGCAAUUUUGACGUUACCGACAGAAUAAGCACCGGCUAACUCUGUGCCAGCAGCCGCGGUAAU